rnacentral:lncRNA from 1 species
GCCUCGGUUAUUCUGAACGGCCCUGUCCACUUGGGCGACAGUUUAUUCUCCAUCUCGUACUGGUGGGCUUUCCUCAUCACCAGGUCGCCUUCUCUAAACUGUCUUGGCAUCACCUUCGAGUUGUAUCUUCGUUCGACCCUUCUCUUUACUGCUUCAGCCUUCAAUCUCGCCUCUUCCCUGACCUCAUCCAGUAGAUCCAGGUUCAGCCUUCUCUCUUCAUUCGAGUCUUCCUCUACAAAGUUCUGGAAUCUCGGCGAGCUCUCCUGGAUCUCUACUGGAAUCAUUGCAUCACACCCAUAGACCAAGC